GACGAACGCUGGCGGCGUGCUUAACACAUGCAAGUCGAACGGAAAGGCCCUGCUUUUGUGGGGUGCUCGAGUGGCGAACGGGUGAGUAACACGUGAGUAACCUGCCCUUGACUUUGGGAUAACUUCAGGAAACUGGGGCUAAUACCGGAUAGGAGCGCCUGCUGCAUGGUGGGGGUUGGAAAGUUUCGGCGGUUGGGGAUGGACUCGCGGCUUAUCAGCUUGUUGGUGGGGUAGUGGCUUACCAAGGCUUUGACGGGUAGCCGGCCUGAGAGGGUGACCGGCCACAUUGGGACUGAGAUACGGCCCAGACUCCUACGGGAGGCAGCAGUGGGGAAUAUUGCACAAUGGGCGGAAGCCUGAUGCAGCAACGCCGCGUGCGGGAUGACGGCCUUCGGGUUGUAAACCGCUUUCGCCUGUGACGAAGCGUGAGUGACGGUAAUGGGUAAAGAAGCACCGGCUAACUACGU
rnacentral:rRNA from 1 species